rnacentral:rRNA from 1 species
UACGAAGGGGGCUAGCGUUGUUCGGAAUCACUGGGCGUAAAGGGCGCGUAGGCGGCUUUGUAAGUCGGGGGUGAAAGCCUGUGGCUCAACCACAGAAUUGCCUUUGAUACUGGAGACCUUGAGUCCGGGAGAGGUGAGUGGAAUUGCGAGUGUAGAGGUGAAAUUCGUAGAUAUUCGCAAGAACACCAGUGGCGAAGGCGGCUCACUGGCCCGGAACUGACGCUGAGACGCGAAAGCGUGGGGAGCAAACAGG